UACGUAGGUGGCAAGCGUUGUCCGGAUUUACUGGGCGUAAAGGAUGCGUAGGCGGACAUUUAAGUCAGAUGUGAAAUACCCGAGCUUAACUUGGGUGCUGCAUUUGAAACUGGGUGUCUAGAGUGCAGGAGAGGUAAGUGGAAUUCCUAGUGUAGCGGUGAAAUGCGUAGAGAUUAGGAAGAACACCAGUGGCGAAGGCGACUUACUGGACUGUAACUGACGCUGAGGCAUGAAGCGUGGGAGCAA
rnacentral:rRNA from 1 species